rnacentral:rRNA from 1 species
UACGUAGGGGGCAAGCGUUGUCCGGAUUUAUUGGGCGUAAAGAGCGUGUAGGCGGUUAGGUAGGUCCGUUGUGAAAACUCGAGGCUCAACCUCGAGACGCCGAUGGAAACCCCCUAGCUAGAGUCCGGAAGAGGAGAGUGGAAUUCCUGGUGUAGCGGUGAAAUGCGCAGAUAUCAGGAAGAACACCCGUGGCUAAGGCGGCUCUCUAGUACGGUACUGACGCUGAGACGCGAAAGCGUGGGGAGCGAACAGG